rnacentral:rRNA from 1 species
UACGUAGGUGGCAAGCGUUGUCCGGAAUUAUUGGGCGUAAAGCGCGCGCAGGUGGUUCUUUAAGUCUGAUGUGAAAGCCCACGGCUCAACCGUGGAAGGUCAUUGGAAACUGGGGGAACUUGAGUGCAGAAGAGGAAAGUGGAAUUCCAAGUGUAGCGGUGAAAUGCGUAGAUAUUUGGAGGAACACCAGUGGCGAAGGCGACCUUCUGGUCUGUAACUGACACUGAGGCGCGAAAGCGUGGGGAGCAAACAGG